rnacentral:rRNA from 1 species
GAUGAACGCUGGCGGCGUGCCUAAUACAUGCAAGUCGGGCGAAUGGAUUAAGAGCUUGCUCUUAUGAAGUUAGCGGCGGACGGGUGAGUAACACGUGGGUAACCUGCCCAUAAGACUGGGAUAACUCCGGGAAACCGGGGCUAAUACCGGAUAACAUUUUGAACCGCAUGGUUCGAAAUUGAAAGGCGGCUUCGGCUGUCACUUAUGGAUGGACCCGCGUCGCAUUAGCUCGUGGGUGAGGUAACGGCUCACCAAGGCAACGAUGCGUAGCCGACCUGAGAGGGUGAUCGGCCACACUGGGACUGAGACACGGCCCAGACUCCUACGGGAGGCAGCAGUAGGGAAUCUUCCGCAAUGGACGAAAGUCUGACGGAGCAACGCCGCGUGAGUGAUGAAGGCUUUCGGGUCGUAAAACUCUGUUGUUAGGGAAGAACAAGUGCUACUUUAAUAAGCUGGCACCUUGACGGUACCUAACCAGAAAGCCACGGCUAACUACGUGCCAGCAGCCGCAGUAA